GCUCAGUUGGUAAAGCACAAGGCUCUUAACCUUGUGGACGUGGAUUUAAGUCCCAU
rfam:Triticum aestivum genome assembly, contig: Triticum_aestivum_CS42_TGACv1_scaffold_406221_5BL